GUCCCGGAACGUGCCGCAGUGUGACGUGGGCCAGUCUGAGGACCUGAGGGCUGCGGAGAAGCGGUGCAGCGUUUAAGGAAACGGGCGUAGUUAGCAAUCUCUGCGCAUGAACGCCCGAGAAAACAAGAGAGGAUGCCUGGCGGGGGCCCUCGGAUGGUGCUCGCCGAUGUGGCCCUGCCCUAGUCUGACCCCCCCUGACCCCCCCACAUUCCAGGAUGACGUGCUGGCAGGUUUCCAGGCAUGAAGUUCCUCCCAUCCCCCAUCUCAAGACGGCCGCCGUAUCAUGGUGAAUAAUCCUUGAGGCAACAGCUGUUCUGACAUCUUCAAACGACUGCUGUCCUACACGAUCCGAGCUUCAAAUGCCACGAUAAGCAUCUAACCAGCUGCAGCAGCUACAGUCCUCCAGAGCGUGUCCCAGGAUGCAAAGCGUGCAAGGCAUGCCUGUGCAAGGUAUGUUUCAGCAUUCACUCCUAUCAGCUGAGGGCGGCAGUUACACUCCAGCACCCCCGCCGGUACAUGAACAGCAGCUGAACCCCACUGAGCACACCUGACCCGGGGAAUCACCUGCAAAGCAUCACUCUCUGGCACGCCUCCAAGAAAGCACCCUUUGUGCUCAGUCUGCGGUGCCUUCAUCGUCCCGCUGGAAACUUCACCCACGCCUGAGCCCCACCAAGAAGGAGCAGCGUGGAGAAGGAGGCCCGUUUGGCUGCCGUGAGAUGCUCAGCGGCGUGGCCAGGACACCUGGGCGGCUGCUUUAAUUAAAAGGAGGCAGUGUACGUUCCGUUCGAUCUCCUCACCGCUGUUUCCCAAAGCUGCGGAGAGAUGGGGUGCCUUCAGAGAAGACUGCUACAGGUCAGCUAUAGCAGGACAUGUCAUGUCUUUAUGGGACAGACGCCGGAGAAUUCCCUGGUACUCCAUUUAGUUACUGAGGAGCAAAAAUAAAUAAAUUUUCACCCUGCCCCUAUUUUGUUUUUGAGAUGGGAUUGCAGUACAGUAUUGGGGACCAAAACUCACUCAGUCCAAAGAAAUUGUCUGGGAAAAAUCUGUGGACUGAGUGAGUUUUGGGAAUCUGCUAUUCAGCUGUGUUUUCCAUUUUAGCAGCAACCAGCACUAAGAAGUCAUUUUCUUAGCUUUAAAGUAGUCUUUGAUUCGUAAUGCCGGAGUUUACCCAUGGAGCCUUUUUUUUGGGGGGGAAAAAAUGCGCUUGAACUGCUUGUUCCUUUAAAGUUUUGGCCAUACCUGAGAAAAUAAAUGAGGCCCUCUCCUCUCCGCCCGUCGCUCCCGGAGAGCGGAGGAGUGCGUCCCCGCUGAAGCAGCCCUGCAUUGUGUUUCAGCCGCGUUGCUCUAUUGUUCUUGCCGCUUAUGAAGAGCUUCACUUCAAAGCUUCCCCGUCUCUCUUUUUAAUUAAAAUAUGUGCUGGUAUUUUGGGCAAAAUAAUAAUAAUAAUAAAAAUAGUAAUUUCAUCAGAAAGUCACAGAUGAAAGUCAAACUGCCUUUUCCCAGGAAUCCCUCAGAUUCGGCACGAGGAUCCUUUGUUCCCUAAUUUCCUAUUUGCAGAUUUGCUCGGGUGAGAGCUUUUUCUUGGGGGCUAAAGCACCCCCCCCUCCCCGCCCCCACACACCUUUUCAUCGGAGGCCGCAGGGCCCCUCCAGCACGCCAGGACAAUGCAGGUAUUUCAAGAGAUGUUACAGAACAAAGCUUGUUAACUUUCAUCCUGAAUACUGACACUCACCUCAUGUGCUGACAUCACGGAACGGUACAAUUUUUUUUUUUUUGCACAUUUAAAAUAGUACGACAAAUAAUGACUUUAGUCGUGAUACGAAAAAAAAACAACAAAGAAUUCUGGUAGUAGGCACAAAAAAAUCCUCUCUGAGCGUAAACGUUCUUGAUAUAUAAAUCUCCCCGGAAUGGUUGAUGCUGCACUAAAGUGAAAUAAUGCAAUCAGUGCGGAGCUGCUGGAGUCACUGGUGUCAUCCAAACUAUAACUUAAGUAUAUUUAUGAAUGAAAUUUAUUGGGCAGCUCAUGUCCUUUUUGAAUAUACAUUGUUAUUGUACUGUAGCUCACGGUGUUUUACAAACGGAGUGUGAUGUCCUAUCAUAAUCAGCCAGCAUUCGCCAUACACUUCAUUUAAACCCCAAAUCGCAUAAAUCUUACAGACGCUUAUAACACACUGACAAGGCGCCACUCAAUGUUUCGAACCCAUCGCCCCUCAGACGCCCUGAUGUGGUCGGAUGGAUACACUCUCACCACAUGCUGCGCCUGAGUUAAUGCAUUAUGAAUGUUGACAAGUGCGUGCGUGUAAAUCACAGGGUGAACAUUGGGGGGCCCCUGCUCAGCGCUAUGACAACACAUAUGGCGGCGGUAUGAAAAAUAGAUGGGCCGUGUUGGAUGCUAACAGCUUGUAUGAUGCUAAAGCCAAUUGUCUUUGAAAAAUUUAUGUCCUCCUUUUUUUUCCCCCCGUUACAGGAAGCCCACGUAUCGGUCUCUGUGCCCAUGACGCUGUCACAUGAUCUCAGGGCCUUCUGCUUUCCAAGGGCCAUGCGAUAUGAGCCAGGAAGCUUUCACUGACGUUGGGGAUGAUAAGGAGAGGAACGGGACCUAACUGCUGGCAGUGAACUUUCUCCUGCUUAAAUAGGGGGAAAAAAAGAAUUAUCCAUCCAUCCAUUCAUCCAUCCAUCAAUCCAUCCAACCACUGCGGAGAGCCUGGAGCCUAUUACAGGCAGCCUAGGGCACAGGACAGGGGAUAACCCUGGAUAUCAGAAAAAAAUUAAUUAUUGAUUAUGUUAUUUCAGCCACAUCGGUGGCUUUACUCCACGACUCACUGACUAACUCAAGGCUUUAACAUUUUAUGUCUGCUAUGAAAGAUGUAGAUACUUAUUGUCACAGAGAAAAUAUGGGUCACCUGUAUGAAUUUAAUUAUGAGGCAUCUAUAUACUGAAAUCAUUAUGACACGAUAAAGCUGGAUUUCUGCUCGGGCAGAUGGGGCACCACAAACCCACAGGACCCCAAGCUAAGCCCUGCGUGCUUUAUAACAAAUGCUAUGCACAUGCUGGUUAAUUUAUGUAUUAAAUUAUAAUGUAAAACAUCA